rnacentral:lncRNA from 1 species
GGUCUUAAUCAUAUUCCCUUUUUUCCCCGUUCCUAGCUGCUGCAUAAGAAGUCUUCCUAUAAUUGAGAAAUGAUAGGCAAUGUAGAGGAGAGCAUGGUUUAAACUCUAUACAAAGUUUUGUCAGAACCACCAGAAAACUGGAACUAUGAUUUAAGUUCCUUGGGGUUUAGUAGACUUCUCACACUAACCUUAGUAAAAAUGUUUAUACAGGUGUGGGUUUUUCUCUCUACUUAGCCCCCUUAUCUUGAGAAGAAUUAAGAGGAACUGUGUUACAAAGGUCCAUGGUUUGAGACCUUUUCAUUUUCUUUCUAGUCUUACCGAAUCAGGACAUCAGGAGGCUUUUUCAAAGUGCUCAGAGUGGGAAGCCUUUGGUGAAGAUGAUGAAGUAAUGACAGUACAACAUGGUAUAGAAAUAACAAGUGACCCGAUUCCAGCCAGUUGUUGUUCAGGAUGGAACAAUCAGAAACAGAAAAAAACCAACUUCUUUCUGCCUGACAGCAAAACUUGCAGAGAUACAGACUGCAGGCUGGAGAGGCUUAAACUUUGUAGCAGUUUAUUGGAAGGACAUCCAUCAGAAUACCCUGAAAGGGAAUGGGGAAGUGCAAGUGCUGAAGAUAGAAUAAUGAGGAAAAAAAUUUAAAUAUUGAGGUGAGUUCAUGCUGACUACUUAUUUUGCCUGUUCUGUUUCAGUAGCCCAUAUGCAGUAUCAUUCUACAGAAUCCAACUGUUCAGUUAAAGCAGAUCAGUUGCUCUCUUUAUCAUAUUAGUAUUUUAUCCCAUCUUCUUGUGUUUAAUGCAGCACCUCAAUUGAAAGAUCUAAUAUUUCGGACUUAGUAAAUUGAAAUAUUUACCUGUUCAGCCAGAAAAUGUGUUUUAUAUUAUCACCCAAAUGAAAAGUACCAGUU